rnacentral:rRNA from 1 species
CAAUAGCGUAUAUUAAAGUUGUUGCAGUUAAAAAGCUCGUAGUUGGAUUUGUGGCGUACGGUGUGUUCCGGGCACUUGUUGUCUGAGUAACCUGCUGUUGCCAUCCUUGGGUGGAACCUGUGUGGCAUUAGGUUGUCGUGCAGGGGAUGCCCAUCAUUUACUGUGAAAAAAUUAGAGUGUUCAAAGCAGGCUUAUGCCGUUGAAUAUAUUAGCAUGGAAUAAUGAGAUAGGACUUUUUUGCUAUUUUGUUGGUUUGCGCAAAGAGGUAAUGAUUAAUAGGGACAGUUGGGGGUAUUCGUAUUCCAUUGUCAGAGGUGAAAUUCUUGGGUUUUUGGAAGACGAACUACUGCGAAAGCAUUUACCAAGGAUGUUUUCAUUAA